CUGCCACCUUAGCCAUGCACUGUCAGCCAGUGAUCUCUGUACCCUUUCUGCAGCUCUGGGAGUGAGGAAACACCAAUGCCCAGGUGUUGGAGCUGUCCAGGAGCCUGAGGUCCAGAGCCCACCGUUUUGCACAGUAGCCUACAAUGAUUGAAGAACAAAAAGGAAACCCUCACGUUUACGUAUCUCCAAAGAGUGGCAGCAGAGAGCUCCUGGCACAGCAUUUGAAGCCUCGAGAGUUGUUCGCUGUUGGGUCACACGAACUAGUGUUCUGGAAUCCUUUAUACUGCAGAAACAAGGCAAACAUGGAAGCCAGGUUGCUUCCUAGAGACCUCCAGCCAUUCCUGGAAGGCACAGCUCAAGCCCUCUUCCACGAAGUUCCUCAUACUCUGCCCAGGAUUGAAUGUGCCUUCCCCAGGGCCAUCUUCGUGCUGUUUUAUACUAAGACCAAGGGAGCUUCCAACUCCCUCUCUGUUCUCCAUUCUCUCUCCUAAAUAGCCCUUGCAGUCUUGUCAAUAUGUCAGUGAGUUAAACUUAUAGGUAGUGAACAAAAAGAGAAGGAAGUGUCCCCACAAGACUGGUGACACCACAAUGGGUGUCAAAGUCUGUCCGGGGUACAAAAAGUCAUAAGGAAUGGUAAGGUCACAGGGAACUGUCCUUGCCUCCCUAAUUAACUCUCCCUGUUGACCAGAAGCUAAGCUCUCCAGAAGCUUUUCUUGGGAUACAAGGAAAACCCUUCAGUACCUCUCCCUGUGCAAAGCAAGAGACCUGCUUCUCCCCUUUAUGAUACGAAUGAAAUCAGUUGAAGUUUCCUGCUGCCCUUACAGCCAAAACUAACACACUGUGCUCUACAUCUGUACUUCUGUGGACUUCCACCAUCGCUGAAGCCCCUUUCCUUAUCUUGAGAAAUGUGCACUUGUACAGUAGCAGUUCCAACCUUAUCGCUCCCACUUCCACAGGCAUGCCUGCUGGAGAGAGACUGUGUGUCUGUGGUCUGUGUGUGUGUGUGUGUGUGUGUGUGUGUGUGUGUGUGCUCACAGUCUUCAGUAGGACAUGCUAAAGUUCAAACCCACCAAUGACAGGAAAGGUCAUAAUGUUAAACAGAUGUGAAACACUCUGAAUUGGGGCCCAGCCUCUCAGAGAAUUAGCACAGCUCUUCCACAGGUGCAAUAAAUCUGAGUUUUCAACCUU